CCUGGGACCAGCCUCCCUCUGGCUGCAGUUGCCUGUCACACCACCCAGUAAAUAUUUUAUUUGGGAAAUGUUCCAGUUAUUUAGCCAUGAUUUUGUGCCAAAAAAGCCAGCAUAUCCUCAUUGUGUUUGCUCAAGGUCUGGCUCUGGUGCCAUGGUGUUUUCCUUGCAGGCAAGGCCAGGUUGAGGUCAGACUGUCCUCUUAUGUCCCUUCUGUGAACAGUGCUGACCUUGCAGUUUGCUCUCAAGCCAUGUGAUUAGUGCCAUUGGAGAAGAAAUCUCCAGGAUGCUUAGUGUGACGGCACGUUCAAUGUCACAAUGUAAUGAUCUCUUAGAGGUUGGUUGCAGCAUUCCCUAUCUGUUCUGCUAGGCACUGUCUGCUCAUCUUCCAUUCCACUGCAUCUGGUGACCAACAGGCAGGCAAAACAGCCCUGGGCCAUUUUUCCUGAUGUCACCAACCACAAAAGCAGAUAAGAAAGAUUCCAAAUUGCUGUACAGCAGAGAAGACUGGUGAGCGUCAUGAGCCGUUUGGUUGUUUCCCUCUGCAGAAUGCCCUUUCACAGAACACAAAGCAUCCUUGCACCAAAUUCCUUUACCACAGCAAUCGCUGUCUGUCCUAGUGCCACAGUGACAAGGGCACCUUAGGUAUGUAUACAUAGAGAUGUAUGCCUUCCACCAUUAAGGCAGUCCCUAAAAUAGGGAAGGAGAAGGGCACUGAUGCUUUAUUUGUAUGAGACCACUCACAGAGGCAUCUCUGCUGCGACAUCUGGCUGCUUUGGGCUAAUGGGUCAGACAAGGCAUGAGCCUGCUCCUUGCCAUGUGUAAUCCCCAGUGCCUAGCCAUCAGGACACUGCAGACUGUUGGGUUCCAUUCAGGCAUAAUUCCAUCAUUACCAUUGAUUUGUUCUCUUACACUCUCUGUGGUGCUUUUAAUCAACUCUCCAUCUUUGUGCCUUCACACCUUCACGCUUUUCAUGAUUGGCUUUGCUACCUUCUGCCUCUGCUAUGAAAUAGUACCAAUGAAAAUCUGCCUGCAUCUUACGUACAUUAACUGUCCCAUUUCUUCUCUCUCUGGUCCAUUGAAGGGAUCUCCCUCUCCCACAAAGGCACCCCUGUCUCUGCACAGCGCUCAGCAGGAACAUGAACUUGGUAGAAGAGCCUGGCAUGGAAAACCACUGAGUUCUGACACAUUCCAUUUGCUCCUAACUCUUUGAUUUCUACUCACAGAAUCUGACAUAUGUUGGGCAUUGACCUCGCUCUUUUAAAUAAGCUUAUUUUAGAAGACCUUUGCAAAAUGCUGUCUGUUUGGCCUCGAUGUAAGCUGUGAGGGAAAUGUAGCACAAACACAGAAGUUGUAUGUUUUGAAUGCCAGACAUGUUACACCAAAGAGCAGUUGGUGUGAUCUAUACUGCUGGAUGCUUUCUGUGCUGAUAGCAAGGCCAUGUCCUUAAAGAAAAUAAAACUGUACUUCCUGCAUUGGACA
rnacentral:lncRNA from 1 species